AUUCGAUUUUCCGCCAAACAAAUGAAGCUCAAGUGAUUUGGCGGUCAGCAACUUAACGGGAAUUCGGGAAAGCUCAAAAAGAUCAACAACAAACUUUAACACAGUAGAGUUUCUAAAUCCAAGGCACCAAAUUAGUAUCCAUUCAUUAUUCAACCCAUGAAUGCAUCAUCAUCAUUGUUAGCACCAGCCCUCCAUUUCUAUUCCAUUACAUCACUUCCUUCGCCAUUCCUCCCGACCAACACAAACAUUUCAAACACUUCACUCUCCGCCACAUCUUCAUCCAAACACGUAUGGCGCAAACCCACCAAUUCACUCCCUCAAUCAUCCCACCAACCCUACCGCAAGAGACCCCAACUGGGUUUACUAGACCACAGCAUUGACAUGGAUGAGUUGGUUGCGUCGAUUAAACAGACUACUGAUGAACACCAACUGUUUGCUUUAAUGUCUCAGUAUAAAACCCGGCAGCUUUCGAUUCGUUUUAUGGUCACGCUGCUCACACGGGAGACUGAUUGGCAGCGGUCGGUUGCUUUGCUUGAUUGGAUUAAUGAGCAUGCGUUGUAUAGUCCGUCUGUGUUUGCGUAUAAUGUGGUUUUGAGGAAUGUGUUGAGGGCGAAGCAGUGGGAGCUGGCGCGCGGGUUGUUUGAUGAAAUGAGGGGGAGGGGGCUUUCACCUGAUAGGUAUACAUAUUCGACGUUGAUUACGAGUUUUGGGAAAGAGGGGUUGUUUGAUGAUGCGUUGUCUUGGUUGCAAAAGAUGGAGCAGGAUCGUGUGUCGGGUGAUCUUGUGCUGUAUAGUAAUUUGAUUGAGUUGUCGAGGAAGCUUUGUGAUUAUUCGAAGGCGAUUGCGAUUUUUUCUAGGUUGAAGCAGUCGGGUAUUUUGCCGGAUUUGGUUGCUUAUAAUUCGAUGAUUAAUGUGUAUGGGAAAGCUAAGCUUUUUCGGGAAGCAAGGCUGUUGAUUGGAGAAAUGAGGGAAGUUGGUGUUAUGCCGGAUACAGUUAGUUAUUCUACACUUUUAAGCAUGUAUGUUGAUAACCAAAAAUUUAUGGAAGCACUGUCGGUGUUUUCUGAGAUGAAGGAAGUUAAAUGCUCACUUGAUCUUACGACUUGUAAUGUUAUGAUUGAUGUUUAUGGGCAGCUUGAUAUGACAAAGGAAGCUGAUAAACUGUUUUGGAGCAUGAGGAAGAUUGGAAUAGAGCCCAAUGUGGUUAGUUACAAUACCCUUUUAAGAGUGUAUGGUCAUGCUGAGCUUUAUGGUGAAGCGAUACAUUUAUUUAGGUUAAUGCAGAGGAAGGAUAUUGAGCAAAAUGUUGUCACCUAUAAUACUAUGAUUAAUAUUUAUGGGAAGUCACUUGAGCAUGAAAAGGCUAAUAAUCUUAUUAAAGAGAUGCAGAGUAGAGGGAUUGAACCCAAUACCAUAACAUACUCUACGAUCAUAUCAAUUUGGGAGAAGACAGGAAAACUGGAUAGAGCAGCAAUGCUUUUCCAAAAGCUGCGCAGCUCUGGCGUGGAGAUUGACCAAGUCCUUUAUCAGACUAUGAUAGUGGCGUAUGAGAGGGCAGGUUUGGUCGCACAUGCGAAGAGAUUGCUUCAUGAGCUUAAACGACCAGACAAUAUUCCCAGGGGAACAGCUAUUCAAAUUCUCGCCAGAGCUGGUCGAAUAGAGGAGGCCACUUGGGUUUUCCGGCAGGCCUUUGAUGCUGGUGAAUUAAAGGACAUAUCGGUCUUUGGGUGUAUGAUUGACCUCUUUUCAAGAAAUAAGAGAAGCACAAAUGUUAUUGAGGUUUUUGACAAGAUGAGAGCAGCAGGGUACUAUCCUGAUUCUAAUGUUAUUGCUCUUGUAUUGAAUGCCUAUGGGAAGCUGGGGGAUUUUGAGAAGGCAGAUGCUGUAUACAGGGAGAUGUAUGAAGAGGGUUGUCUUUUUCCAGACGAAGUUCACUUCCAGAUGUUAAGUCUUUAUGGUGAAGAAGGGCAAUUUGAAAUGGUAGAAUCACUAUUUCAGAGAUUGGACACUGAUCCGAACAUUAACAAGAGAGAAUUAUAUCAUGUUGUAAUCGGCAUAUACGAAAGGGCAAAUAGACUAGAAGAUGCAUCUCGAAUAGUUCAUCGGAUAAGUGAUGCAGGAACAAUGAAGCCGCGCAUGUUGUAAGAUUUAUUUACUGAAAUGAAAAGUUGAAGACAGGAUUGUGGUGUCUCCUCUCGGAUGUUUAUUUUAAACGUGGAUCCAGAUUGCUCUUUCAUUGGAAUGUAGUUGGCAGAAUUAGUAUCACGAGUUCAGUCACAUCACCAUGUUGCAGCUUAUACCCUCAGAUCUUAAUGCUCUGAUCAAUAUGUUUGUAAUGAACAAGAAUAUCUCGACAAAUAAAUGGAUCUCUAAAGGAGAAUUUUCAGCUAAUCCGUUGGGUUUUUCUUUGGAAGCAUUUGCUAUUUUUCUACCAACAAGAGAUCAUGCUCUAAUGAUUUUUCUAUAAUUCCAGUGACUUGUAUAUACGUAUACACUGAAGCUAUUUUCCCAACAAGAGAGCGGUUAUGGUCUUAUGGUUUGUAAUUUGUAUAUAAUUCCAGUGACUUGCAGAUAAAUUAAUGGAGGGUAGAUUUUCCUGACUAGCGUUUAUAUGUUACUCCUCAAAUGCAAGAUUUGCCUUUAUGAGAAGGUCCAAACUCAGAAGAUUUGUAUGAGCUUGCCCCCAGAUGCAAAAGACUAUUGCAAUUUGCAAGUAAGAAAGUUUUGGACUAGUAUAAGGAUUAAGGGAUUAAGGGGUCAAUUUACAUUAAUAAGAUUCUUAGCCGCUUCUGUAAAUUAGGCACACUUCAGAUAGAAUAUUCUUUAGCCUUUUUAUUUCCAUGAAGUUGGGUUUGCAAUACUUCUUGGACAGUGACUCUUUUUUGUUAGUUCUUGACUUGGUGUGCUUUGCAUUAUUGAAAUUCUAGCUGAUGCAUUUAAUAGUUAGUAUCUUUAAUGAUCAAAUCAUAUGUUCUUUGUCGA